UUGCAACAAGAGUAAUGCAAAGUAGGAGG
rnacentral:piRNA from 1 species